UUUCUCUAGAAUGGUUAAAUGACAGCUUCUUUGGCCAUCCCAAUAGAAGUACCUGACAAUCCCAACUCUCCUUCCUACUGAACAGGUUUUUAUUCAUGAAGAAAUCAAAACCAUUUCCAGGAAGAAGAAGGAGCUGAAGUUCAACUUACACUCGGGCAGCAUACAUACACAUAUGUAGCAUACAUAUACACAUGUAUGCCACUAGAGCGAAAGUAGAACUGCAUCCUGGAGUCAUCCAUAUCCAUGCCCUAGGUGUCACUGCAGAGCUAUAGUGGCCAUAGAACCAGGCUCGCCAGCAUCAGCUCCCAUGCAGUACAAGGAUGGAAAUGGCUUGAUAAUGCUAAAAAAUGCAAAUGCUUCUCAUUUGUCUGUUGAACUUUUGUCUUUUUACUACUUAAUUAUGAGAUCUCAUAUGCCAUUAUAUUCCCCCACUUGCUUAUUUCUCUUUUAUUUUCUUACACUGUGGAGAAUUGAACUUAUGGCCCCCAUGCAUGCUAGGCAAGCUCACUGUCUACCUUUUGUCUUGGU
rnacentral:lncRNA from 1 species